UCCCCUGCAGAGAGGGAGUUUCUCUUACAUGUAAAAGUAUUAACAUCGUGUUUUGAAUAAACAAGUUGGUUCAGCAAAGAGUACACUACAUUGUAGUGUGGAAGCGUUAUGUUUUAUCUUUCUAUGCAGUGCUGGCAUGUUAGUUUCCCAGCAUAGUUGGCCUUGGUUUCAUACUGCUGAUGAAGAAAUCUUUGUGGCAAACUAUUAUAGGAACUAAAAUUGUCGACAACUCGUGGCCUAAUAGAGAAUCCAUUCAAUACAGUAUGGAAUUAAGGGCUCAAAAGUAUGCAAGUUGUACCCAGCCAAUGUCAUGGAAUUGGUCGUACACAGCCAUGCCCCACAAAUCAGCACGCCAUAUAUGUGGGUGUGGUUGAAUACACACCUAUACCAACCAACAACAUUAUGCCUGGACUUUUGCUUGGACACAUGCCCGGGCAAUCAACUUUUGGGCUGGUAUGGAAAUACGUGAUUUGGCAUUAGCCACUACCUUAUCUUAUAUGGAUUUGUUCAAGGAGGCUAGAAAGCACAGGACAAAAUGGCUACUAUAGAGCAAGCAGAGCACUUGCUGAUUAGGUCAAUCUUCUCCUCAUUUUUACGCUCAUAUCAUAGAUAGAAGAGGAAACAAAGUUCCAAACGAGUUUGGUAACCAUGUGGUUUUUUUCGUCCAUCCAUGAUUACGUGAGGUAUCCACUUUCCCGUUCUUUUGUGCUGAGGUUGCCUGAGCCUAGCUGGCUUAAUUAUUCAUAGGUGUGUAUUCAACCGCACCCACAUUUAGGACGUGCUAAUUGGUGGGCGUGACCACAUAUGCCCACUUCCAGGAAAAUGCCUGGGUUCUUUUUCCCGGGCAAGUGCCAGGGAAUAUGCUUGGGGCAAAGGUUGCAUAAAUACCUUUCCAUAAUGCAGUUACAUCAACAAACUUACUCACAAUGCAGACAAACACAAUAGACACCAUACAAACAUACAGCAGUCAGCAUGAAACAGACAAUAAAUGAAAAAGAACUGUAGAAGUUAGUCAUGUUGAAAUGUUGAGCUAAGGAAAAAAACUAUUGUACGUACCUUCUCUUACUACUGCUAUCAUUGCAUAUAAUUACUUGUAUGAGUCAUGUGAUUAACUAACUCUUGAGUUACACCAGCAUCAGAGAUGAAGCUGUUAUCAACAUGUCCACUUCCAGGAACAAUGACAGGACUGUCUAGCGUAUUAUGCUGAAUUCUUCGUUCGUAAAUCUCCUCAACAACAGCUUGAGGAAAUGGCUCCUCAUCUCUGACUCGAUAUUUGUACUGUCUACUGACACAUGCGAACAAGAAGAGACCAACUAAAGAUAUCAGCAAUGUGGUAAACAUAUAUCCGAACCCACAAGAAACAUAAGGAUGAGCAAACUUUUUCCAGAAAGGCAAAGAAAAAGGAACAAGUAAAACGGCAGCAACAAAGAUGUAGCAACCUUUGAUGGCAAAGAAAAUGCCGAAUACCAGACCUUUCAUAGCCUGUGGACUCUGAGCAGAAAUAAACUCAAGUGAAGUCACCAGUACAAUACUGUAUGACAUCAUGUUGAAACAGCUAGGGAAAAGCAAGACAUACCAAGGGAGUUGAAGCGCGGGAAAGGAGUUUGAAUACGUUUUAAGAAACAUACAAUUAGAAUUGGUAUUCUCCCUGAGACUAUGCCCAAUCAGAUCAAUCACAAGCAUGCUAAACAUUCCAAGAAUUGACAGGAAAAUUCCUAUCUCCAGUCGCCUGAUAAUCUUAGGCACCCUGUUUCGCAAAACACAGUACACUACCCACAUAACUACUGGAAAACAAACAAUACCAACGGCAUAGCUUAAAGUUCCACUUUCUACCAGAAACCAUUGCCAAGUGCAUUCUUUUGUUUGACCUGUAACGUGAAGUGAGAAAAGAGGGUAAACAAAGAAAGAUGUUGAGAUAGAAACUGUGAACACUGGUCCAAUAGCAAGCAGUAGAAGCACCAGUCGACCAAGAGUCUUGACGUCUUCAACUUGACAGGACGUGAAUGGACCACCGUAGCAGUUUUUAGCAAAAUCACACCGUGAUGGCCUUUCCCCAUUAGUCCAGUGCAGCGCACUGUGACGAAUGGGGUACUUGUGAGUCCGUACAUAUUGUAGCACAUUGACAACCAUUUUGUACGGAUUAUAGUGAGCAUUAGUUGCAAUAAACCACUGUUUCUUGAUGAUAUGGAAAACCAAGAGAAUUGACAUGAUGGCAAACAGUGCUCCAGACAAGCAAACGCCAACAACUUUGGGAAGAUUCGACAAACUUUUACAACUAAUUAAUGCAAACAAUACAUGAAUCACUGUUUCUCCAAACAGGUCCACCCACACACACCAAUGCAAAAAUAUCCCUAAAACAUGGCUGGGAGCAUCUUCAAGCUGGUCUAAACUAAACUGAACAAUAUUAGAGUAGAAACCUGACACUCCACAAAUUUCAAUGAGAAAGGCAACAGCGUACAAGACAUAACUAAAUACUGUAACCGGCUUCGGUGCUGGAAUAAUAAAUAUUGUCAACAAUUCUGCAAUAACCAGGACCAAUAAAGCAGUCCAUAUGAUUGUUAAACUAAUGGUGACAAUCCUACUUCUACCGCAGUAGAUAUCAGCUAUAAACCCACCGAUUGGGUAGCAAGCAGUGACAAUGGCCAUAAAUGCACAAAAGCAAAUGAGGGAAAAUUUAGGAAUGUUACCUGAAGCAAAGAUACCUACUAUGACUGCAUACUGAGAACCAGACAGUACACAUGCCACGACAAACAUCCACAACAGAAGAACGAUGGAAGACUUGGAGGUGAGACACAUAGCACGGGGAGAGAAGUGAAGUUUGUGAUGAAUGAUGGAGGGAGGUGAGGUGUCUUGGUGACUGUCUUCUUGAUUUACUUGAACAGACAUACUGCACACAAGCAACACUACAGCACAGAGUGCAGAACUACGUGUUGCAGCAAGACUGUCUCUAGCUAAAACUUAAUUACAAGGUUGAAAACUCCCAAAAUUUUUGUUUUGAGGCAAGUGAGAAAAUUAUCUGCAGCUUGAGAACAACUUAAUACAUUAAUUACCAUAGCAGUGAAACCAAUCGUAAACAAUUAUAGUACAACCCUUACAGAAAUGUAUAAGUGCAGCACGUAUGCUGCACACAUGCAACAAUGAGUGCUGCACGUGUGCAAUGGAUAUUUAUGUGCAGGACAAGCGUGUCAUGAGAACCGAGCUUUACGGCUAUCGUACAUAUAUGCCACACGCAUGUAGCCUGCACAUGUGUCUGUUGCACGCCUUCCACACGCAUCUAGUUGGUAUAUGAGCAAACUGCAUACAAGCCACACACGUGUCCUUGCACGCAUGCCAACUGCACUCGUUCCACACACAUCCAGUUGGUAUGCGAGCAAACCGCAUACAAGCCACACACAUGUACUUGCACACAUGCCAACUGCACUCGUUUCACACACAUCCAGUUGGUAUGCGAGCGAAUUGCAUACAAGCCACACACGUGUACUUGCACGCAUGCCAACUGCACUCGUUUCACACACUGUAUUACUAGCAGCUGUCAAAAGUUUACUUCAAAUCUUUGUCAAAUUCUGGUCUAGUUAAUAAGGACUUAUAGCUCUUUUUUAAAGUUGGCUGAAGACUGAAGAGAAUGCUAAUGUGUCUUACCAACCAGUGACAAGCAAUGCUACAGGCAACAAGUUCAAAGGAGAAAAUCCCAGAGAAAACUGUUUUAGAGAUUGGUAAAAAGAACAUUUUCAAGCUGCAAGCAAAGCUAAAAGAAAACGCCUAUAUACUUCUUAUGCAACAGAGGUUGGAGAACUAGGAAAAGAACAAAUAUAUAUAGCACAAGUCCUGUAUAUAAUGUGAUCUACUGUAUGCUGCAGUUUUAUAUUGGAUAGACGAUAUCUUGA